rnacentral:lncRNA from 1 species
ACCAACACCAGGAGCUUUCCUCAUGACCCUAAUCAUAUCAUCAAUAAUUUUCUGCACUUUCUCAGAUUUUAUCUCACUAGGAUCAAUUUCUUGAGCAGGUUCAUGAAGAACUGGGUCACCAGCUUUAAGAGUAUCAGGCAAAUUCAUCUUCUUCUUAUUAUCUGUAAGGCCUGAAAACCAACCUGCUCUUGUUCUUACAGUAGCAGCUUGAGAAGAUGAUGAUGGUGUUAAGGUUAAAAUCAAUGGUGGCUUUGAAAUUGGUAAUGCAGAUAAUGGGGUUGUAGUUUUGGUUGUAAAGAGAGAGUUUUUGGACAUGGAUACUGGAAGUACACACCGCAUAUGUAAAGCUUCCAUGGCUUUCAU